GACGAACGCUGGCGGCGUGCUUAACACAUGCAAGUCGAACGGAAAGGCCCUGCUUUUGUGGUGUGCUCGAGUGGCGAACGGGUGAGUAACACGUGAGUAACCUGCCCUUGACUUUGGGAUAACUUCAGGAAACUGGGGCUAAUACCGGAUAGGAGCUCCUGCUGCAUGGGGGGGGUUGGAAAGUUUCGGCGGUUGGGGAUGGACUCGCGGCUUAUCAGCUUGUUGGUGGGGUAGUGGCUUACCAAGGCUUUGACGGGUAGCCGGCCUGAGAGGGUGACCGGCCACAUUGGGACUGAGAUACGGCCCAGACUCCUACGGGAGGCAGCAGUGGGGAAUAUUGCACAAUGGGCGGAAGCCUGAUGCAGCAACGCCGCGUGCGGGAUGACGGCCUUCGGGUUGUAAACCGCUUUCGCCUGUGACGAAGCGUGAGUGACGGUAAUGGGUAAAGAAGCACCGGCUAACUACGUG
rnacentral:rRNA from 1 species